rnacentral:lncRNA from 1 species
AUCGAUCACAGGAUGCAAGGAUUUCAAACAGGUAUCUGGAGCUGCAGGUAAAAGUUAGUUCCUAGUUUCUCUCUCUCUAAAUUUCUCUCUUGAGUCAAAGUCUGCUUCCAUUGCAGGACAGUGACCAAGAUUGGACAGGCUUCCAUGAAUCAAAACUUAAUGGUGGUUGCCACCAAGUUCUGUUCACUUCUUUUUGACCUAUAUCCAAGAGUUCUUUGCGAAAGCGAGCCUUGAAGAUUGCCGCCUCCAAGUCCCGUUUCGAACUUUUUUAUUUGAGUCUUUAUGAAUCAAGCCUUAAUGGUUUUAGCCACCAAGUCCUGUUCAGACUCAUCCUAAUUAAACAAUAGAUAUUUCUUAUAUAUAUAUAUAUUUAUUUUUUUUUCUUUUUUUAUAAGUAAUCUAGGGUCGAAAUCUAGAGAGAGAAAAUGUGAUAAAUAAUCUAAACCAGGCGUUACCUUCCAGACCUAUCUGAAGAAUCUGAUCCCAUGUAUACCAAGCCCCAAGACAAGCGGUUAUGUCAGGUUUAGUGUUGGAAAUCAGCUUUGGUUACUUCAUACGGUUCAAGGCAAGUGUGUAGUUGAUAGGUUGAUCUGCUUUAGCAUCUUUAGUGCUAUCUGCAAUCAGUAAAUCUAAAAUGGUGCUAAAGAUCGGUUAGAUAUUCAUGUUUAAACCAGUAUAAGAUUAUAGUCCCUAUUUUCGAUAGCUAAGCAUAAUUUAUUUGAAAUUCCUUUUUAC